rnacentral:rRNA from 1 species
UACGUAGGGCGCAAGCGUUGUCCGGAAUUAUUGGGCGUAAAGAGCUCGUAGGCGGUUUGUCGCGUCUGCUGUGAAAACUCGAGGCUCAACCUCGGGCUUGCAGUGGGUACGGGCAGACUAGAGUGCGGUAGGGGAGAAUGGAAUUCCUGGUGUAGCGGUGAAAUGCGCAGAUAUCAGGAGGAACACCCGUGGCGAAGGCGGCUCUCUGGGACGGUACUGACGCUGAGACGCGAAAGCGUGGGGAGCGAACAGG